rnacentral:rRNA from 1 species
GACGAAGGAUGCAAGCGUUAUCCGGAUUCAUUGGGUUUAAAGGGAGCGUAGGCGGCCUUGUAAGUCAGUGGUGAAAUCUCUCGGCUUAACCGAGAAAUUGCCGUUGAUACUGCAGGGCUUGAGUACAGUUGCCGUUGGCGGAAUAUGACAUGUAGUGGUGAAAUACAUAGAGAUGUCAUAGAACACCGAUUGCGAAGGCAGCUAACGAAACUGUAACUGACGCUGAGGCUCGAAAGUGCGGGGAUCAAACAGG